GACGUAGGGCGCGAGCGUUGUCCGGAUUUAUUGGGCGUAAAGAGCUCGUAGGCGGUCUGUCGCGUCGGUCGUGAAAACUUGGGGCUUAACCCUGAGCUUGCGGUCGAUACGGGCAUGACUGGAGUUCGGUAGGGGAGACUGGAAUUCCUGGUGUAGCGGUGAAAUGCGCAGAUAUCAGGAGGAACACCGGUGGCGAAGGCGGGUCUCUGGGCCGAUACUGACGCUGAGGAGCGAAAGCGUGGGGGAGCGAACAGG
rnacentral:rRNA from 1 species